CCCCUAGAUGUUCUGGGCCGCACGCGCGCUACACUGACCAGUGCAACAAGCAUCCGUCCUUGGCCGACAGGCUCGGGCAAUCUUUGAACGCUGUUCGUGAUUGGGAUAGACCUUUGCAAUUAUGGGUCUUCAACGAGGAAUUCCUAGUAAACGCAAGUCAUCAGCUUGCAUUGAUUACGUCCCUGCCCUUUGUACACACCGCCCGUCGCACCUACCGAUUGAAUGGUCCGGUGAAAUCUCGGGACGGCGGCUUGGUCGCUUGCGUCCGACUGCUGAAACUUGAUUAAACCAUAUCAUUUAGAGGAAGGUGAAGUCGUAACA
rnacentral:rRNA from 1 species